rnacentral:lncRNA from 1 species
GAGAAUUUCUUAGUGCUGAGAAACUAUUCUGGAACUUACAACAAAGGCAACUGGGAAAGGAGUCGCCUGGAAUUUGAUCUCUGUAGAUGCCUGUUGCUUUGCUCUUAUCAAAUACAGAUAAAUAGCAGCUGCUACUGGUGCUGUUGAUUGCGAUUUCUGUUUGAAAAUGAAAUCUUGAGCAUCUGUUCUCUCCUUUUAUAUUUUACUGUGAGAGAAAAUCUAUUUUUUCCAAAAGGUAAUUCAUACACAUG